rnacentral:lncRNA from 1 species
AUGGGUAGAGAGGAGAAAAACCUAUGGUGGCUUUGAUGGCCAUGAUGCAACUAUGUAUGUGAGAUUAAUAUCUUCUGAUAGUCAUGAAUUUAUUGUAAAAAGAGAACAUGCAUUAACAUCAGGAACAAUAAAGGCCAUGCUGAGUGGUCCAGGUCAGUUUGCAGAGAAUGAAACCAAUGAGGUCAAUUUUAGAGAGAUACCUUCACUUGUGCUAUUAAAAGUAUGUGUUAUCUUCAAGGUUCAGUAUACUAACAGCUCCACUGAAAUUCCUGAAUUUCCAGCUACACCUGAGACUUCAUUGAAACUGCUGAUGGCCACAAACUUCCCAGAUUGUUAA